rnacentral:rRNA from 1 species
GACGGAGGAUGCAAGUGUUAUCCGGAAUCACUGGGCGUAAAGCGUCUGUAGGUAGUUCAACAAGUCAACUGUUAAAUCUUGAGGCUCAACUUCAAAAUCGCAGUCGAAACUAUUGAAAUAGAGUAUAGUAGAGGUAAAAGGAAUUUCCAGUGGAGCGGUGAAAUGCGUAGAUAUUGGAAAGAACACCGAUGGCGAAAGCAUUUUACUGGGCUACUACUGACACUGAGAGACGAAAGCUAGGGUAGCAAAUGGG